AACGCUGGCGGCGUGCUUAACACAUGCAAGUCGAACGGAAAGGCCCUGCUUUUGUGGGGUGCUCGAGUGGCGAACGGGUGAGUAACACGUGAGUAACCUGCCCUUGACUUUGGGAUAACUUCAGGAAACUGGGGCUAAUACCGGAUAGGAGCUCCUGCUGCAUGGUGGGGGUUGGAAAGUUUCGGCGGUUGGGGAUGGACUCGCGGCUUAUCAGCUUGUUGGUGGGGUAGUGGCUUACCAAGGCUUUGACGGGUAGCCGGCCUGAGAGGGUGACCGGCCACAUUGGGACUGAGAUACGGCCCAGACUCCUACGGGAGGCAGCAGUGGGGAAUAUUGCACAAUGGGCGGAAGCCUGAUGCAGCAACGCCGCGUGCGGGAUGACGGCCUUCGGGUUGUAAACCGCUUUCGCCUGUGACGAAGCGUGAGUGACGGUAAUGGGUAAAGAAGCACCGGCUAACUACGUGCCAGCAGCCGCGGUGAUACGUAGGGUGCGAGCGUUGUCCGGAUUUAUUGGGCGUAAAGGGCUCGUAGGUGGUUGAUCGCGUCGGAAGUGUAAUCUUGGGGCUUAACCCUGAGCGUG
rnacentral:rRNA from 1 species